rnacentral:rRNA from 1 species
UACGUAGGGAGCAAGCGUUGUCCGGAAUCAUUGGGCGUAAAGCGCGCGUAGGCGGCCCUGUAAGUCCGUUGUGAAAGUCAAAGGCUCAACCUUUGAAAGCCGAUGGAUACUGCAGGGCUAGAGUCCGGGAAGAGGCGAGUGGAAUUCCUGGUGUAGCGGUGGAAUGCGCAGAUAUCAGGAGGAACACCAAUAGCGAAGGCAGCUCGCUGGGACGGUACUGACGCUAAGGCGCGAAAGCGUGGGGAGCGAACAG